rnacentral:misc_RNA from 1 species
AAGACUAUAGACCUGCGGAGUACCUGCGGAGGGAUCAUUACCGAGUUUAUAAAACUCCCACCCUUGUUUACUGUCUGUUGCUUCGGCGAGACGAUUGGAAUCAACCACUGGCUGUUGCUGGUGUGUGCUCGCCGGAGGUUUUCACGCGAAUAUCUGCUGUCAGAGUUUUUGACGAAUUUAAAAACUUUUAGCAACGGAUCUCU